GUGACUGCGUACCUUUUGUAUAAUGGGUCAGCGACUUAUAUUCUGUAGCAAGGUUAACCGAAUAGGGGAGCCGGAGGGAAACCGAGUCUUAACCGGGCGUUAAGUUGCAGGGUAUAGACCCGAAACCCGGUGAUCUAGCCAUGGGCAGGUUGAAGGUUGGGUAACACUAACUGGAGGACCGAACCGACUAAUGUUGAAAAAUUAGCGGAUGACCUGUGGCUGGGGGUGAAAGGCCAAUCAAACCGGGAGAUAGCUGGUUCUCCCCGAAAGCUAUUUAGGUAGCGCCUCGUGAAUUCAUCUCCGGGGGUAGAGCACUGUUUCGGCUAGGGGGCCAUCCCGGCUUACCAACCCGAUGCAAACUGCGAAUACCGGAGAAUGUUAUCACGGGAGACACACGGCGGGUGCUAACGUCCGUCGUGAAGAGGGAAACAACCCAGACCGCCAGCUAAGGUCCCAAAGUCAUGGUUAAGUGGGAAACGAUGUGGGAAGGCCCAGACAGCCAGGAUGUUGGCUUAGAAGCAGCCAUCAUUUAAAGAAAGCGUAAUAGCUCACUGGUCGAGUCGGCCUGCGCGGAAGAUGUAACGGGGCUAAACCAUGCACCGAAGCUGCGGCAGCGACGCUGUGCGUUGUUGGGUAGGGGAGCGUUCUGUAAGCCUGCGAAGGUGGCCUGUGAGGGUUGCUGGAGGUAUCAGAAGUGCGAAUGCUGACAUAAGUAACGAUAAAGCGGGUGAAAAGCCCGCUCGCCGGAAGACCAAGGGUUCCUGUCCAACGUUAAUCGGGGCAGGGUGAGUCGACCCCUAAGGCGAGGCCGAAAGGCGUAGUCGAUGGGAAACGGGUUAAUAUUCCCGUACUUGGUGUUACUGCGAAGGGGGGACGGAGAAGGCUAUGUUGGCCGGGCGACGGUUGUCCCGGUUUAAGCGUGUAGG
rnacentral:rRNA from 1 species